UGCUGCGCCUGACCGAGGGGUCCCUGCGGCGCAUGGGGGUCACCCCGAGGAGCCGGCGCCGGGAGCUGCUGCGGGAGCUGCUGCGGCUGCGGCUGCAGGAGGAGAUCCAGGAGCUGCGGAGCAUCGCUGGCGAGUGAGGAUGAUGUCCCUGCAGAUGUCCCGGAGCCGGUGGGAGCAGAGGAGAUGGCGUGUGAGAACAAAGCAGCUGGGACUGAGCAAGACAUGCAGGAAUAGUGCUGGAGGAGCCCCGAGAUCACUGUGACCCCCUGAAAAAUCCAGAGCCUGCCCAGUGCAGGAGCUGACAGCAGAACCUUAGAAGCAAAAUUUGAUCCACGAGGCCGGGCAGCUACCCGGGCCAGGCAGAAAGUAGUCCUAGAACAGAUCUUGUGUGAAAUAGGGGCUCACAAACACAAAGGCACUCACUGGAGUGCUGAAAAACUUCUGAAACCUUUGCAAAAAUCUGUAAUUGGGUUGAAAAUGGCUCAGACUGUGCAAUCAAGAAUCCAACAAAGGGUAGUUUGUUAAAGAAACAACCCUAACAAGGCUAGCAAAAUAAUGCUGGGAGCCAUAAAAUCUGGAAAUGUGGUGGGUGAACAUUGGCAGAUUGAUUCCACUGAAUUGCCCAGACAUGGAGGGUAUAAACCCCUCCUGGUUCUGGUGGCCAGAAUCCUUCCCUUGUCACACCAGCCAGGUUAGGGAAGUGACUGAAGUACUGUCAGUUCAAACCUGGAUUGGGGGUGCCUUUGGGAAUGUCAUCAGACAGAGGUUCCCACGUUAUUGCAGAAGGGCUUCCAGAGCUUGGGAAAGCCUUGGGAAUAGCUUGGGAUCUUCACACUCCUUAUAGGCCCCAGGCUAAUGGCAAAGUGGAGUGAGUGAAUUAUGCAAUCAAAUUGCAAUUGGAUAAUCGGGUAAAAUAUGUCAGGAAACCUCCUUGGCCUGGGUCCAAGCCUGACCUGCUGCUCCACAUCAAAGCAGAAUUCAGCCAUGGGCCACCAGCAAAAUCAGCUCCCGUGAGCUGCUCUGCAGACGACCCUACCAAGUGCCACACUCCAGGAAACAGAGAUGUUAAAAGGAGGGGUCGAUUUGAAUAAUUCCUCAUUUCUCUUAGUAAAAGCUUACAGAAUUUGCAGCGGGCAGUGAUGAUCUCCAGAUGCGAUUGAACGCGCCAGGGCGUGAGUUCAAACUGAGAGAUUGAACCUGCUUGAAUGACAGGGGAACUGCUCCACUCCAGCCAAAGUGGGAGCACUUUCCAAGUGCUGCUGGCAACUUUUACUGCCUUGGAACUGGACACAGUAAAUUCGUGGAUACAUUAAAGCAGAAUUAAAAGGGAUGAAGCCUCUAGGGAAGAAGUCAAGAGCUUGCCAUGAGCUGUUUUACAAAACUGAAUGGCACUAGACCUUGUUUCAGCAUCACAAAGAGGAAUAUGCACUGCCAUAAACUCCAGUUGCUGUGUGAUCAAAGUGGUAGAGUGUCCACAGAUGUCCAGGAAAUCUGAAAACAAACCUACACACAAGCACAGCUCAAGAUGCAUCUCCUGGGGAUUUGAAGAAAUCUGGACCAAACUUUUUUCAUGGGUACUCAGCUGGAUGUGGUAAAACAUCUGUUUAUAAUCUACUCCAUAAUAAUUACUGUAUGCUUUUAGCCUGCAUCAAGACUCAGUGUUGUAGCUGUUUUAAUGCCUUACACUCUGAAAGGAAAUAUAAAUCUUAAAUAGACUGCUUCCCACAAGAAACUUAGUCUCAAGAAAAGGACAGGAGAACAGCACAGCCUUGGAGAAACAGAUAAAGGGUGUAAAUCAGGCAAACAGAAGUCAUGCAAAAUACCAGCUCAGCUUUGCAAGGCACAGUUGUACAAAGCACAAGUUCUGCAAAAGAAGGGUAUUGCCCUUAAUCAAGAGCGAGGGUCGUGGAACAUGCCCCUAAAAAGAACACUGGAUAUUGAAGACAGACCCCAAAGAACCAUUUAAGGACUUCUGGUAAGGUGUGUGACUGUAAAAUUAAGUUAAGUGGGGAUAGCUAAUGAAUAUACAACCUGUGUGUGUGAUAAAAGCUCUGUUCAUCCAACACUCGUCAGACUUGAUCAGAGGAAGUAUCCCCCAAACGAGCAGCGCUGUAAUAAAGAAUGGCUGGUUUCUAAUACUCAAAA